AUGGAGGUCUCUCUAGGUGUUUUAGUGUGGAAUGUAAGGGGGCUUAAUAACCCUGCUAGGAGGUGCUCGAUCAGACUGUUCUCCCAGUCCUACAACAUCUCUCUAGUUUGUUUGCAAGAAUCUAAGAUGGAACUGUUGGAUGCGGCGGUGGUUUGUGAGACUUUGGGUCCCGCUUUUGAUGGCUUUGAUUUUCUUCCGGCGGAAGGCACGAGAGGUGGCAUUUUGAUGGCAUGGAAAUCGGACAAGCUACGGCUCUCCAAUAUUCAGAAAGAUGAAUUUAUGAUCUCUGCUCAGGUUCUCUCACUGGAGGAUGGUAGAGAAUGGAUGGUUUCCUCAGUAUAUGGGCCUCAAGGUGAUGAUGAUAAAUUGCGAUUUCUGGAGCAGCUGCUGCAGUUUGGUGAGCAAGUUCACUUGCCUUGGAUCUUAAAUGGUGACUUUAACUUGAUCUGUUCCGAGGAGGAGCGCAGCUCAGGGAGGGGUAACAGAAGACUCAUGUCUAAAUUCAGACACACCAUUAACAGACUGGGGCUGCAUGAUAUGCCGAUGAUGGGCAGGCGAUUCACUUGGUGCAAUCAGCAGGAGUGA
rnacentral:rRNA from 1 species